AUGGGUUUAGUUGAACUUGAGAAGGAUCAUAUCAGCGAAAACUUUACCUCCUGCACGGUGACGACUCGGCUGUCCCUUUGCGAGUUCUGUUACAAGUUGUACGAUUGUAAUCCAAGCAUACUCGAGGCGAGUUCUGUUACAAGUUGCUUUUUAUUUAUAGGCUUAUUAUCAAAACAAGUGUUUGCAAUAUUUUCAUUAGCACAAUAUUUAAUCACCGAAUUGGCUUGUGCAGUUGAUCAACUAAUCCAUUUGAGAAUGUAUCAAACUUAA